rnacentral:rRNA from 1 species
UACGUAGGGGGCAAGCGUUGUCCGGAAUCAUUGGGCGUAAAGCGCGUGUAGGCGGCCCGGUAAGUCCGCUGUGAAAGUCCAGGGCUCAACCCUGGAAAGCCGGUGGAUACUGCCGGGCUAGAGUCCGGAAGAGGCGAGUGGAAUUCCUGGUGUAGCGGUGAAAUGCGCAGAUAUCAGGAAGAACACCAAUGGCGAAGGCAGCUCUCUGGGACGGUACUGACGCUGAGACGCGAAAGCGUGGGGAGCGAACAGG